GGUGGCGAGUGGCGAACGGGUGAGUAAUGCGUCGGAACGUACCGAGUAAUGGGGGAUAACGCAGCGAAAGUUGUGCUAAUACCGCAUACGCCCUGAGGGGGAAAGUGGGGGAUCGUAAGACCUCACGUUAUUCGAGCGGCCGACGUCUGAUUAGCUAGUUGGUGAGGUAAUGGCCCACCAAGGCGACGAUCAGUAGCGGGUCUGAGAGGAUGAUCCGCCACACUGGGACUGAGACACGGCCCAGACUCCUACGGGAGGCAGCAGUGGGGAAUUUCGGACAAUGGGGGCAACCCUGAUCCAGCCAUUCCGCGUGAGUGAAGAAGGCCUUCGGGUUGUAAAGCUCUUUCAGCAGGAACGAAACGGUAGAGGCUAAUACCCUCUGCUAAUGACGGUACCUGCAGAAGAAGCACCGGCUAACUACGUGCCAGCAGCCGCGGUAAUACGUAGGGUGCGAGCGUUAAUCGGAAUUACUGGGCGUAAAGCGUGCGCAGGCGGAUUGUUAAGCAAGACGUGAAAUCCCCGGGCUUAACCUGGGAAUGGCGUUUUGAACUGGCAGUCUAGAGUGUGUCAGAGGGGGGUGGAAUUCCACGUGUAGCAGUGAAAUGCGUAGAGAUGUGGAGGAACACCAAUGGCGAAGGCAGCCCCCUGGGAUAACACUGACGCUCAUGUACGAAAGCGUGGGUAGCAAACAGGAUUAGAUACCCUGGUAGUCCACGCCCUAAACGAUGUCAACUGGUUGUUGGGGGAGUGAAAUCCCUUAGUAACGAAGCUAACGCGUGAAGUUGACCGCCUGGGGAGUACGGUCACAAGAUUAAAACUCAAAGGAAUUGACGGGGACCCGCACAAGCGGUGGAUGAUGUGGAUUAAUUCGAUGCAACGCGAAGAACCUUACCUGGGCUUGACAUGCUUGGAUGCCUACCUUGGAUAACUUGGUAGGUUGCCCUUCGGGGUGAAACUUGCACAGGUGUUGCACGGCUGUCGUCAGCUCGUGCUGUGAAGUGUCGGGUUAAGUCCCUUAACGAGCGAAACCCCUGUCGUCAGUUACCAUCAGGUAAAGCUGGGGACUCUGGCGAGACUGCCGGCGUUAAGCCGGAGGAAGGUGGGGACGACGUCAAGUCAUCGUGGCCCUUAUGUCCAGGGAUGCACACGUGCUACAAUGGCUAUUACAAAGCGCUGCAAGGCCGCGAGGCGGAGCAAAUCGCAAAAAAUAGCCCCAGUUCGGAUUGGAGGCUGCAUUUCGCCUCCAUGAAGUUGGAAUCGCUAGUAAUCGCGUAUCAGCUACGACGCGGUGAAUGUGUUCCUGAGCCUUGUACACACCGCCCGUCAAGUCAC
rnacentral:rRNA from 1 species